rnacentral:misc_RNA from 1 species
GAACUGCGAUAAGUAAUGUGAAUUGCAGAAUUCAGUGAAUCAUCGAGUCUUUGAACGCACAUUGCGCCCCCUGGCAUUCCGGGGGGCAUGCCUGUCCGAGCGUCAUUGCUGCCCUUCAAGCCCGGCUUGUGUGUUGGGUCGUCGUCCCCCCCGGGGGACGGGCCCGAAAGGCAGCGGCGGCACCGUGUCCGGUCCUCGAGCGUAUGGGGCUUUGUCACCCGCUCGAUUAGGGUCGGCCGGGCGCCAGCCGGCGUCUCCAACCUUAUUUUUCUCAGGUUGACCUCGGAUCAGGUAGGGAUACCCGCUGAACUUAAGC